AUCGAACGCUGGCGGCAGGCCUAACACAUGCAAGUCGAGCGGAUGAAGGGAGCUUGCUCCUGGAUUCAGCGGCGGACGGGUGAGUAAUGCCUAGGAAUCUGCCUGGUUGUGGGGGAUAACGUCCGGAAACGGGCGCUAAUACCGCAUACGUCCUGAGGGAGAAAGUUGGGGAUCUUCGGACCUCACGCUAUCAGAUGAGUCUAGGUCGGAUUAGCUCGUUGGUGGGGUAAAGGCCUACCAAGGCGACGAUCCGUAACUGGUCUGAGAGGAUGAUCAGUCACACUGGAACUGAGACACGGUCAAGAGGCAUAAGGAAGGCAGCAGUGGGGAAUAUUGGAGAAUGGGCGGAAGACUGAUGAAGCCAUGCCGCGGGUGUGAGGAAGGACUUCGGAUUGUAAAGAACUUUAAGUUGGGAGGAAGGGCAGUAGGUUAAUACGUUGCUGUUUUGACGGUACCAACAGAAGAAGCACCGGCUAACUUCGUG
rnacentral:rRNA from 1 species